ACAUUGAGCCUUGAUGUGUAGGAUAGGUGGGAGGCUUUGAAGUGUGGACGCCAGUCUGCAUGGAGCCGACCUUGAAAUACCACCCUUUAAUGUUUGAUGUUCUAACGUUGACCCGUAAUCCGGGUUGCGGACAGUGUCUGGUGGGUAGUUUGACUGGGGCGGUCUCCUCCUAAAGAGUAACGGAGGAGCACGAAGGUUGGCUAAUCCUGGUCGGACAUCAGGAGGUUAGUGCAAUGGCAUAAGCCAGCUUGACUGCGAGCGUGACGGCGCGAGCAGGUGCGAAAGCAGGUCAUAGUGAUCCGGUGGUUCUGAAUGGAAGGGCCAUCGCUCAACGGAUAAAAGGUACUCCGGGGAUAACAGGCUGAUACCGCCCAAGAGUUCAUAUCGACGGCGGUGUUUGGCACCUCGAUGUCGGCUCAUCACAUCCUGGGGCUGAAGUAGGUCCCAAGGGUAUGGCUGUUCGCCAUUUAAAGUGGUACGCGAGCUGGGUUUAGAACGUCGUGAGACAGUUCGGUCCCUAUCUGCCGUGGGCGCUGGAGAACUGAGGGGGGCUGCUCCUAGUACGAGAGGACCGGAGUGGACGCAUCACUGGUGUUCGGGUUGUCAUGCCAAUGGC
rnacentral:rRNA from 1 species